UACGUAGGGUGCAAGCGUUGUCCGGAAUUAUUGGGCGUAAAGAGCUCGUAGGCGGUCUGUCGCGUCGGAUGUGAAAACCCAGGGCUCAACCCUGGGCCUGCAUUCGAUACGGGCAGACUAGAGUUCGGUAGGGGAGACUGGAAUUCCUGGUGUAGCGGUGAAAUGCGUAGAGAUGUGGAGGAACACCGAUGGCGAAGGCAGUGAUCUGGGCCAGUACUGACGCUGAGGAGCGAAAGCGUGGGGAGCAAACAGG
rnacentral:rRNA from 1 species